rnacentral:piRNA from 1 species
UCUCCAACUAGAUCAUGAGCUCUUGAGCC